CAAGCGAAUUGAUGUGAAGGCAUUUUCUCAGCUUGAAAAAAAUGUUAUUUUAAUUGCUUAUGAAGAGAAAGUAGUUUUCGUGGACGUAAAUGGAAAUAAGAUCAGCAGUACUCCGAAUUGUUUAACUGAGUUACAUUUUAGUUAUCCAAUUAAUUCUGCUGUUUGUUUACCAGGAAGUGUACUGACAUUUAAUUCAAAUGGAAUUCAAGGAAAAAGUGUAAUAGAUGGCCAGGUAACUGCACAGUUUACAGACUCAUCUAGACUAUAUAAGCUACUUGGGUCAGACAGGAUUGUGGUGAUUGAAAGUCGAGUUCGAACUGAAAGAGUUUCUAAUUUAUACAUUCUAGCAAGUAGCUAACUGUAUUCCUCACGUUAUUGUUGUUAUCUUUCAGCUUUUAUAUUGCAAAUUACUAUGUUUAGGUAAUAUUUUUAUCAUUUUUUUUUAC
rnacentral:lncRNA from 1 species